UAGUUGACCCUAGUCGGGAAGUGGU
rnacentral:siRNA from 1 species